rnacentral:lncRNA from 1 species
GUAACCUGCUGGUACCGCUUCAUCUGGGAGGGGGCCCUGGUCCUCUUUGAGGUCUCGGCCGUCACCUGUCCUCUGUUAAGGAGCCAUCUGUGGAAGAUUCAGGGAGGCAAGCAGACCCGCCGAGGAGCCACCCUUUCUACGGCAGAGAACCCAGAAGCGCCACCACCAGACUCAUGAACGCUUGUGGCUGAGAUGUGGGGCGAGGAGUUGAGGACGGGGAAUCCCCUGGUCCUGUGCUCACGUUCAGAUCUCUCAAAGGAGCUAGAGCACCAGGCGCUUCGGAACUUUCUGAAGGUGAAAGGGGGCAUCCCAAACCAGCCAGCCGGAAUUGGGGGGGGGGUCAGCUAACAAAGGCCCCAUUUACAGCACUGCAUUCUUUGGAUCUUGUCUAGAAUCAUCCGCACGGCCCACCCCACCCGCCGUUGGACGGUGCGCUCCUUCGGACAAGGCUCCGUGGCAGACUCCUCUGUCUCUCCUGCGCCCAGCACAGUGCUUUCCCUCACCAGAGCCCCAGCGAGCAUUUGUUAACUCAACAGACAGGGUCCUUAAGUUUUAGGCCAUUUCAUGGCAUAACUGGAUGUACUAGAAAGAGCAUGCCUGGCUUUGGAAACAUGGAGGCCUGAGUUCAACCCCCAGCUGUGACACGGAUGAACUGUUCAAACUUAAAUCAGUCAAUUCCUCCAGGCCCCAGCAUCCUGAUCUGUACAACGAAAAGAAUCACAUAGUCUUCAAGAGUUAAGAGAAGAAAUGGCUAUGAAACCCCUAAUAAUCCGUCUGGUUCACUUAAUGCUCAAAUAUCCUUUACGUUCCCAUCUAGCCUGCUGAGGAUCGAGCAGAAAGAGCUUCUGAAGAAAAAUCAUCUGGGCUUUGCUGUGUUCUCAGGGGCACACAGGAGCAACACCAGUGUUCAGACAGAGUCCCUGUGUUUAGCCAUGGCACUUAUCGCUGGGUAGUUGAGGCAUCUUUGUGCCCUGGAGAGGCUGUGCCCUCUGACUGGGAGGGUGGCAUUGGAGGGCAGUUAGAGGUCACACAGACCUCGGACUGAUUAUUGACUCUGCCCCUUAUGAUGGCUUGGGCAAGUUUCUUAAUCUCUCCAAGACUCAGUUUCCCCUUUUAGUAAAUUGAGGGAAUAAUUUGGGGUGAAUUUGUGUGUUAAAUGAAAUAAUACAAAAUACCUUGCCCAGGAAUAGGCAUGUAGCAAGCGUUCAGUGAAUUUUAC